rnacentral:rRNA from 1 species
CGCCAGCAUCCUAGCCGAAGCGCGGACCUCAGUCCCGGCUGGCCGUAUUACACCCUGGGCUAUAACACCUCCACCGAAGUGGAGGCCACAUUCCCAGAGCCUUUAUCCGGCCGCCGAAACUGAUGCUGGCCUGUCCAAACUGAGUAAACCGGUCAGAAGACCGGCCGAACAGUUUAAACAAGUCUGAUUGCAAGCGCUUCCCUUUCAACAAUUUCACGUGCUUUUUAACUCUCUUUCCAAAGUGCUUUUCAUCUUUCGAUCACUCUACUUGUGCGCUAUCGGUCUCUCGCCAAUAUUUAGCUUUAGAAGAAAUUUACCUCCCAUUUAGAGCUGCAUUCCCAAACAACUCGACUCGUCGAAGGAGAUUUACAUAGGGUGCCAUUUCCUGUCACAUACGGGAUUCUCACCCUCUAUGACGUCCUGUUCCAAGGAACUUAGACAGGCGGCUUCCCCAAAUCAUCCUCUACAAAUUACAAUGCGAACCCGAAGGCUAGCUUUCAAAUUUGAGCUGUUGCCGCUUCACUCGCCGUUACUAGGGCAAUCCCUGU